rnacentral:rRNA from 1 species
UGCGUAGGCGGUCUUUUAAGUUUGGUGUGAAAUCUCCCGGCUCAACCGGGAGGGUGCGCCGAAUACUGAGAGGCUAGAGUGUGGGAGAGGAAAGUGGAAUUCCUGGUGUAGCGGUGAAAUGCGUAGAUAUCAGGAGGAACACCGGUGGUGUAAACGGCUUUCUGGACCAUAACUGACGCUGAAGCACGAAAGCGUGGGUAGCAAACAGGAUUAGAUACCCUGGUAGUCCACGCCCUAAACGAUGCAUAUUUGGUGUGGGCCAUUCAUUUGGUCUGUGCCGGAGCUAACGCGUUAAAUAUGCCGCCUGGGGAGUACAGUCGCAAGGCUGAA